rnacentral:misc_RNA from 1 species
GAAAGAUGAAGCCUAUGGGAGUUUUGGGUGAUGUCAUUUUUUCAAUUGAAUUUUUCUUCUUUAUAUAUAUUCGUUAUCAAUUAUUACAUAACAGUUUUACCUGACCUACUCUGUAUUUCCAGCUUUAUUUCACUUCUACUUCACCUCUAUGGCUAGCUCCAUUCAUGUGAAAGUUAAACCUAUUUGCUAUAGGGGAAUUCUUUAUUUUUUGGCUUGUUCAAUUAUUAUAUUCAAGAGCAUAUAUUCUCUCUUUUCUUCUCUCCUCUUUAUUUUCAAUUUUUGCUAGCCAUUUGUUGCCUAUCACUCAA